UUUAGAGGAAGUAAAAGUCGUAACAAGGUCUCCGUAGGUGAACCUGCGGAGGGAUCAUUACAAGUGACCCCGGUUACCACCGGGAUGUUCAUAACCCUUUGUUGUCCGACUCUGUUGCCUCCGGGGCGACCCUGCCUUCGGGCGGGGGCUCCGGGUGGACACUUCAAACUCUUGCGUAACUUUGCAGUCUGAGUAAACUUAAUUAAUAAAUUAAAACUUUUAACAACGGAUCUCUUGGUUCUGGCAUCGAUGAAGAACGCAGCGAAAUGCGAUAAGUAAUGUGAAUUGCAGAAUUCAGUGAAUCAUCGAAUCUUUGAACGCACAUUGCGCCCCCUGGUAUUCCGGGGGGCAUGCCUGUUCGAGCGUCAUUUCACCACUCAAGCCUCGCUUGGUAUUGGGCAACGCGGUCCGCCGCGUGCCUCAAAUCGACCGGCUGGGUCUUCUGUCCCCUAAGCGUUGUGGAAACUAUUCGCUAAAGGGUGCUCGGGAGGCUACGCCGUAAAACAACCCCAUUUCUAAGGUUGACCUCGGAUCAGGUAGGGAUACCCGCUGAACUUAAGCAUAUCAAUAAG
rnacentral:rRNA from 1 species